UCCCAGACUCCUACGGGAGGCAGCAGUGAGGAAUAUUGGUCAAUGGUCGGGAGACUGAACCAGCCAAGCCGCGUGAGGGAGGAAGGUACAGAGUAUCGUAAACCUCUUUUGUCAGGGAACAAAGGCGGGGACGUGUCCCCGGAUGAGUGUACCUGAAGAAAAAGCAUCGGCUAACUCCGUGCCAGCAGCCGCGGUAAUACGGAAGGUCCGGGCGUUAUCCGGAUUUAUUGGGUUUAAAGGGAGCGUAGGCCGGUCUUUAAGCGUGCCGUGAAAUUUUGUGGCUCAACCAUGAGAGUGCGGCGCGAACUGGAGACCUUGAGUGCGCGGAAGGCAGGCGGAAUUCGUGGUGUAGCGGUGAAAUGCUUAGAUAUCAGGAGGAACAUCGGUGGCGUAAGCGCUUUACUGGGCCGUAAUUGACGCUGAGGAACGAAAGCCAGGGUAGCAAAUGGGAUUAGAUACCCUAGUA
rnacentral:rRNA from 1 species